rnacentral:rRNA from 1 species
UACGUAGGUCCCGAGCGUUAUCCGGAUUUAUUGGGCGUAAAGCGAGCGCAGGCGGUUAGAUAAGUCUGAGGUGAAAGGCUGUGGCUUAACCAUAGAAUGCUUUGGAAACUGUUUAACCUGAGUGCAGAAGGGGAGAGCGGAAUUCCAUGUGUAGCGGUGAAAUGCGUAGAUAUAUGGAGGAACACCGGUGGCGAAAGCGGCUCUCUGGGCUGUAACUGACGCUGAGGCUCGAAAGCGUGGGGAGCAAACAGG